UACGGAGGGGGCUAGCGUUGUUCGGAAUUACUGGGCGUAAAGCGCACGUAGGCGGCUUUGUAAGUUAGAGGUGAAAGCCCGGGGCUCAACUCCGGAAUUGCCUUUAAGACUGCAUCGCUAGAAUUGUGGAGAGGUAAGUGGAAUUCCGAGUGUAGAGGUGAAAUUCGUAGAUAUUCGGAAGAAACACCAGUGGCGAAGGCGACUUACUGGGACACAUAUUGACGCUGAGGUGCGAAAAGCGUGGGGAGCAAACAG
rnacentral:rRNA from 1 species